ACACAGAGAAUAUGUAUCUUUGUAUUAAUACCUGGAACCAUACUAAAUAACUAAGUUUUGUGGACUCUGUUUCCUUAAAUGGAAGAUGAAGACAACCUUUUUCUCUUGCAUUACUUAACUUUUCCUCUUGUGGAACAUAAGUGUAACAUGGCCUUAAGUCAGGAUAAAAAUCUUAAAGAUUACUUCUUGUGUUGGGUGUCUGCUUCCAGUUUAGAAGACCUCUUUGCCAGGAACAAAUGCUGACAAUUUGAUCUGCUCUGGGAUCCAUUCAAGAUUCUGUUUACCCAGCUUUUGCUCUGAAUUGUAUCGUUAUAGAUUACCAACUUAACUUACCAACCACUACAGAACUGGUGAUUCAUGUCUGAAGCAGUCUUUCAGUACCAGCUGCAGUCCUACAGGUGGUAAAUCUUCUCUAUUUUCAGAGCAUCCCUGGGAAGAACCCUGGAGUGAAGGAGGAGAAGCACAGGGGGUGGUGUGGCGCUGAACAGAGCCUGGAAAUGCUAUAUCUCUCAAAAUGCUGCACUCCAGGGAGCCCUGAAAGCUGCUGCAACCUAUCUCAGAAAAUGCUAUGUCAGAAAGAAAAAUAGAUUUUUUUCCUAAACUUCCUUGAAUUCUAAAGACAACAUUUAAGGCAAUCCUAAGAAGUAGCCACAGAAUGUUUGCUCACUUUGCCCACAGGAGAUGGUGAAUAAGCCCCCUUCCAUCAUACUUGCUCUCCAGACAGACACCCAGGAGUCACCCGCAUCACCAGAUUCUGCAGAGGGCAGCAUUAAGAGCCAGGGUGAUACAUCAUUUUUUCCUGUCCAAUGCUGCUCUCUGUUGAAUGAAGUUGUAGGCGGCACAUCACGUUUGCAGUAUAUAUUGAUUUACGAUUUCAAAGUGCUGAACAAACAACUCAUUCUUCCAAGCAGACCACAGAUAAUGACUCAUUAGCUCCAAUUUAAUAUGCAGGAAAAGUGGGAGGACAAUGGUUGCACAAUUAAUCUGCUAGGCCACAGGGCAUUAAGGAUGCCAUGCUCAUCUGCUCCGCCAAUGGAGCUGCAUUAGCUCCACUGCUUGAAGCACCCAAGUGGAGGAGAAGAAAGAACCCCUUCAGCUCCUCUGUGCUGCUGCAUUCUGGGGUUUGACACCUCCUGUGCACAUUUUUUGUCCUGUUAGUCGAUGCACUGGCAUUGAACUCCACAUCUGGCUUGUGCUUUUUCUACAGCAGCUGAAAUGCAGUUUCUUGUCUUCCCAGGGAAAGGAUGCAUUGCAAGGAAAUGCUCAGUUGGAUUGUUUUCGCUUCCUUCUUUCUUUGACAGUUUUGUCUUUCCAUGGGCUGCCCUUCUGUCAGAUGUGUCUCCUUUCUGCUGGAGAACUUGGUGUCAAAUCAAACUGUACUGGGACAAAAAUAAGCCAAUUGAGUGAGUAAACAGUUGCCUGGAAAGACCAGGUACCAUCAAACAAAUAUGUUUAAAAUUGACACAAGAUGCUGUUUUCCUGCUCUGAUAGACUCAUACCCAUGCUUUAAUUGUAUCCAAACAACCAUCUGCUAUGAAAAGCAGUGCACUUGCUUUGCUGAUGUAAUCCUUAUCGGAGACUGGGAAAGCCUUGUUCUGCUUUGGGAAGCCAAGAUGCUAGGAACAUUUAUUUCAUUCAUAGUAAUGCACUUCUAAAACAUACCUUUAGGCAAACAUUUGUGCAUUUUAGUACAAAUAUUCAUCGAGGACACAUAUUCUUGGUUGUUUGCCCACAUAGAUAUGAAUAGCAUUUGAUACAUACUCAUUCUUAGUAACUCUCAAGGUUUUCUGCCUUUUCCCUUUGUCACUGAUGAAAGCAGAUAUUUGUCAGUAAAUAUUGUGUUUGGGCACACCAACAUUUCAAGAUACUGCCUGAAAAUGUGUGUUGAAGGUGUAAAGAAUUGAGGAGAAACAAGAGAAAGAAAAAUGAAAGAAGCCUUUCCUCGAUGAAUAAAAUGGGUUUUUCUGUUUUUGUAAC
rnacentral:lncRNA from 7 species